UUGUAUGUUUUAAAUAAGUUUUAUGAAGAUUUAUGGGGUAGAAAUGCAUGUUUAGGUUAUUGUUGAGUUUAUGGGUUUAUGUUAUGUUUAUGAGCAAUGUGGGUAGUAUGUGUAUGUUUGAUGUGUUUUGGUUGGGGUUUAAGUUAGUUUGAGACCCCUAUGUGCUUGUUGGCUUGAGUUUGCAUAUUGUAGACUAGGUAAAUGCAUGAUGGAAUGGAUUGGGAGGCAUUUGUGCAUGAAAGAG
rnacentral:lncRNA from 1 species